AAGUCGUAACAAGGUUUCCGUAGGUGAACCUGCGGAAGGAUCAAUACGAAGAGUGGAGAGGGAGAGUGGGGAUAUGUUGAAAUACUAGAAGAACUUAUGACAUUUUACACACACAACAACACACAACUCAUAACAAUGGAUCUCUGGGCUCUU
rnacentral:misc_RNA from 1 species